UCUUGAUCAUUGAGAGAUCAGCGGUCUAGUCUAGAGCCUGCACUGAAACUCUCUGAUGCAUGAGCUUCUGAAUACUAGAGAUGGAUUUGUUGAAACUAGUUCAUAUGAAAAGCCUAGCAGAAUAUUUAUUGACUCUAAGGACUUGUGCGAGUCUAAAACAGGUCUAGUCAUGCCAAAUGAUUUAUAUGACUAAAAUUAAUAUAACUUUCAAUCUCAAAUUUUGCUAAGAAAUUCUAUAAGUUCUAUCAUAUUGUCAUAACUUUUCUGAUUUUGAUUAUCAUAUUGAAAAUUUCUCCUCUUCAAAAAAAAAAAAAAAAAAAAAAAAACCCAUGUUUUCAUUUCCCUAACACUGUGCAUAACUUUUCAGCAGUGUUAACCCCACUGCAAUCCAGCCUCCACCAUUUCCCUUCUCAGACUCAACCAUCUCCACCAUAACCAAACCAGUGAUAUCAAACCACCAGCAACAGCUUCUUCUUCAUCUUUCUUCGAAAACCCAAGAUCAGCACCCCCUCAUCAUCUUCAGAAAGCCAAACCAGAACCCCUCUCUCUCUUAGUUUCUCCCAUCGUAGUCUCCCAAUGCCUUCUCCUAAACCACAACGCAAGGCACUCUUCACGGCAGAUCCACAAUAAUAACAAUCAGAAGAGCGAAGAAGAAAUUACAGUAGAGAGAGAGAGAGAGAGGUAGAUCUAAAAAAAUACAAAUGAAUAAAAACUACUGUCUAGUGUUGAUUUCUUUGUCUUGCAGGUAGCGGUGAUAGUCACCGCCGGCAGGGAAAGGAAGAGGUUAAAGAGUGGCUUCAGAUCCACCAAUUUUCGCUCUUCAAUCGAUGACGGCGCAUGAAGCCAAGCGCCGACAGUGACGGUGGUGCUUGGUUGCCACUCUUCACUGCUUUUGUAUGAAGAGUUGUAAAGAAAUGCUCAUGAAACUAGUUUGCAAUAAUGAGUGGACAGCCCCUUGAGCAUUUCAAUGGAGUUUAUUUUAUUGUGGGAGUACUAGUUGCUCUAAUAAAUUUAAUAAAUGGAAUUGUUUAGUUUUCUAUCCUAAGUAGAAAAUCAUUUUAGCAGGUGAGGUAACCUGAAAAAAUGCUCUCUGAAAACUAGAUUGUCAGGACAACAUUUUUUUUCUUCCAUGUAAUGCCUGUUAGAGAAAAUUUAUUACAAGAGACUGGGAUUUCAGCGAGCUUCCACCAUAGUAACUGUAACUUCAUUUACAGAACAAGCUGCUCGUCUAGACAUUGCUGGCAAGUCUUGUCCACUGCGUGUUCGUAAAACAAAUGCUGGCUUCUUAGGGGAAGGAAGAGUUAUCUCAUUACCUAACAUGAACACAACUUCUAACAUUGCAGGUCGAUCAUCUGGAAAUUCUUGCACACACAGUAACCCAAUCUGAACGCAUCUCAAAACUUCAUGAGGAGGGCAUGCCUGUUCCAGCAUUGGAUCAACUAUGUCUAAUGCCUUUUCUUCUCUCCAUAAGUCCCAUACCUGAAACAAGGAAGAAGAUAAUUGAGAAAAGAAUCUAAGAGGAAGACAAUCACCUAAGAUAUUAUCAAGAAAUUUAUCGAUCCACUUACAUGUCCGAUAAGAUUCAGCCAGGGUUCUUUCUCACCGUAGUCGCUAUUUUUCCUGCCACUUAUGAUCUCCAGUGUUAAGACACCAUAGCUGAAGACAUCUGACUUUAUCGAAUACUGUCCGUGAAUUGCGUACUCAGGUGACAUGUAGCCGCUACAAUCAUAAAAGAUGAAGCUUGUUGGUAUUUGAUCAUGAUGGAUCACUGGAGAGAGGAAAUAAUCAGGUGACUUACUAUGUUCCGACCACACGAGUGGUUUUUCCUUGGACUUGGUCUUCCAUAA